rnacentral:rRNA from 1 species
GUAGGUGGCAAGCGUUGUCCGGAAUUAUUGGGCGUAAAGCGCGCGCAGGCGGUUCUUUAAGUCUGAUGUGAAAGCCCACGGCUCAACCGUGGAGGGUCAUUGGAAACUGGAGAACUUGAGUACAGAAGAGGAAAGCGGAAUUCCACGUGUAGCGGUGAAAUGCGUAGAGAUGUGGAGGAACACCAGUGGCGAAGGCGGCUUUCUGGUCUGUAACUGACGCUGAGGUGCGAAAGCGUGGGGAGCAAACAGGGAUUAGAUACCCUGGUAGUCCACGCCGUAAACGAUGAGUGCUAAGUGUAGGGGGGUUUCCGCCCCCUUAGUGCUGCAGCUAACGCAUUAAGCACUCCGCCUGGGGAGUACGGCCGCAAGGCUG